rnacentral:lncRNA from 1 species
AGGUCCUAAAUCACUGAUAUUCACAAGUUUGAUCCUUAUUUCAAUUACAGAAUCACUCAGGUUGGGUUUGUUCUCUCGUUUGACAUUGGUUGGCAUCGAGUAACCUUCUAUUGAAUUAUGUCUGCUUGAAAGCUAGGAAGUUAUUAUCAUAUGGUGUAUCGGUUUAUCUUAUCAUAUUGUAGCGAUGCUAAGCUAUAUAGAAGAUGACAGUCUUGUUUGUUGGUUACAGUUUCUGACGAAGAAUGGGAGCAUAUAACUUGCAUUCAAAUAUCUCAUAGCUACUUAUUUUGGCAUUUGAUAAUUCCAGGAAUUUUAACUUCUGUUUUGUAGUUGUGUUGGUAACUAAAGAUGCAGAUAAACUGUGUUGCUUCAACAAGAACUAUGACUGGUAACCUUUCUAAUCCAUUGCUGGUUUAA